ACGUAGGGAGCAAGCGUUAUCCGGAUUUAUUGGGUGUAAAGGGUGCGUAGACGGGAAAUUAAGUUAGUUGUGAAAUCCCUCGGCUCAACUGAGGAACUGCAACUAAAACUGGUUUUCUUGAGUGCAGGAGAGGUAAGUGGAAUUCCUAGUGUAGCGGUGAAAUGCGUAGAUAUUAGGAGGAACACCAGUGGCGAAGGCGACUUACUGGACUGUAACUGACGUUGAGGCACGAAAGUGUGGGGAGCAAACAG
rnacentral:rRNA from 1 species